rnacentral:ncRNA from 15 species
CCGACCUUAGCUCAGUUGGCAGAGCGGAGUACUGUAGAUCCUUAGGUCGCUGGUUCGAAUCCGGCAGGUCGGA